AUGUGAUGCACACCAAACGUUGUUAAAUUAAAAUUUUGCAGACAUCAAUACAAAAUCCAAGGAUAAUGGCAUCUAAAUCAAGAUAUGAUACAUUCAGCAUAGUUUUGAUUGGAACCAAAGGCAGUGGUAAAAGCUCAACAGGAAAUUGUAUUUAUGGAGAAAACAAAUUUCAAGUUUUCGUUGGAACAAAAAAUGGUACGGGGCGCAUCGAAAGUGCCAGAAAAGGAUAUCGUGAUACAGAUAUCGUUGUCGUUGACACGCCUGGAGUGCGUGAUAAUAGCAACUUAAGAGAAAUUAUGCUAUAUUUGCAGGAUUCAGAAAACGUGGUGUUUGCAAUCGUGAUUGCAAUAGGUAGAUAUACAACAUUAGAUAAAAAGCUGCUUAUCGAUAUAAGUAAAGAGUACAAAGACAUUUUGAAAAAAUCAAUUAUUAUUUUCACCAGAAGAAACGAGCUUGACACGUUUGAAAUUCCAGAAAAUAGGACAAUUGAUAAUUGGCUGAAAACUGUCCCUACGUUAUCAACUUUCAUUGAUAAAUUUAAACUUCAAUUUCGCGUUUUUGAAAAUGUGGAUGUAGACUCGAGAUCAAAAGCCGCACAAGUGAAGGAUGUCAUAGAACUUUGCAGGGAAAUUGUUCAAGAUCCAGUAUCUUCUGAAAGGGAAACCGGGUUCGAAAGAACCAUACAAGUUAGUUUCAACGAUAUUCAAGAACGGUUUGGAAGUUCAGGGGUUGAAUAUUUCGAAAAAAAGUAUAAAUGCCAAAGAAAAAUGUGAAGACUAUACAUAAACGAUUAACAGAUGGCUUUUGCAAAGAGGAAGUCUUUGAGAUAGAAAUGUGGUUUUCAUUGUUAAAUACUGACUUUCCUAAAUUAAAAUUCUAUAUAUAAAAUU